CAGUCGCCCGGGAAUACAGAGGGUGCGAGCGUUAAUCGGAUUUACUGGGCGUAAAGCGUGCGUAGGCGGCUUCUUAAGUCGGAUGUGAAAUCCCCGGGCUCAACCUGGGAAUGGCAGUGGAUACUGGCUCGCUAGAGUGUGUCAGAGGAUGGUGGAAUUCCCGGUGUAGCGGUGAAAUGCGUAGAGAUCGGGAGGAACAUCAGUGGCGAAGGCGGCCAUCUGGGACAACACUGACGCUGAGGCACGAAAGCGUGGGGAGCAAACAGGAUUAGAUACCCGCGUAGUCCCUGUCUCUUAUACA
rnacentral:rRNA from 1 species